AUUGAACGCUGGCGGCAGGCCUAACACAUGCAAGUCGAACGGUAACAGGAAGAAGCUUGCUUCUUUGCUGACGAGUGGCGGACGGGUGAGUAAUGUCUGGGAAACUGCCUGAUGGAGGGGGAUAACUACUGGAAACGGUAGCUAAUACCGCAUAAUGUCGCAAGACCAAAGAGGGGGACCUUCGGGCCUCUUGCCAUCGGAUGUGCCCAGAUGGGAUUAGCUAGUAGGUGGGGUAACGGCUCACCUAGGCGACGAUCCCUAGCUGGUCUGAGAGGAUGACCAGCCACACUGGAACUGAGACACGGUCCAGACUCCUACGGGAGGCAGCAGUGGGGAAUAUUACACAAUGGGCGCAAGCCUGAUGCAGCUAUGCCGCGUGUAUGAAGAAGGCCUUCGGGUUGUAAAGUACUUUCAGCGGGGAGGAAGGGAGUAAAGUUAAUACCUUUGCUCAUUGACGUUACCCGCAGAAGAAGCACCGGCUAACUCCGUG
rnacentral:rRNA from 1 species